rnacentral:lncRNA from 1 species
UCACCGUCGUGCUCACCAUCCUAUCUUGCUUCUAGCGCGCUACACCUUCGGACAAGCCACCGAUCUCCUCCAUUUUCACCAUAUGGUGAUCCAGGUUGACCAACACAUGUACGUAGGUGAUCUAUUUCUUCCACUUAGUUUGUUCUAAUCGGCUGGAGUAAUUUUUUCGUUCAGAUAUAUAGAUUUUGUAGGAUGUUUGGUUGAUAGCAUAGACCACAUCGAUCUUCUUCCAAUCAAUAUAUAACCGAUUGAUGCAGGAAAAAAAACAUUGCUGUGUUAAUAUAGUAUUGUUUCGCUUGUUUCCAUGCUUCCCACAGAUGGGGUUUCCAAAAUGCCGUGCAUAUGCUUGUGCUGUCCAAGUCUUCUUUCAUAGUCACCUUAUUAUCGGUGAACUAGACUUGUAGGGGACAAAAACAUGCAUUGCCAUUUCCUCAACCGCUCUAGAUUUCAUUUUUCUCCGAUUUUGUCAAUUGCGAGGUACAAAUCUAUUGUAACAACCCGAGAACGACAUACCACACU